rnacentral:rRNA from 1 species
AGAGUUUGAUCAUGGCCCAGGAUAAACGCCGGAGGCGCACAUAAGACAUGCAAGCCGAACGGACUUAACUCUUUCUUUUAGAUUGAGAGCGGUUAGUGGCGGACUGGUGAGUAACACGUAAGUAACCUGCCUAUUAGGGGGGAAUAACAGUGAGAAAUCACUGCUAAUACCGCAUAAGCUGAUAAUAUCGCCAUGAUAUAGUCAGAAAAGGAGCAAUCCGCUAAUAGAUGGGCUUGCGGCUGAUUAGCUAGUUGGUGAGGUAACGGCUUACCAAGGCGACGAUCAGUAGCCGAGCCUGAGAGGCUCUACGGCCACAUUGGGACUGAGAUACGGCCCAACUCCUACGGGAGGCAGCAGUCGGGAAUAUUGCGCAAUGGAGGAAACUCUGACGCAGUGACGCCGCGGUAUAGGAUGAAGGUUUUCGGAUUGUAAACUAUUGUCGUUAGGGAAGAAAUUUGACAGUACCUAAGGAGGAAGCUCCGGCUAACUAUGUGCCAGCAGCCGCGGUAAUACAUAGGGAGCAAGCGUUAUCCGGAUUUAUUGGGUGUAAAGGGUGCGUAGACGGAGAAGCAAGUUGGUUGUGAAAUCCCUCGGCUUAACUGAGGAACUGCAACCAAAACUACUUCCCUUGAGUGUUGGAGAGGAAAGUGGAAUUCCUAGUGUAGCGGUGGAAAUGCGUAGAUAUUAGGAGGAACACCAGUGGCGAAGGCGACUUUCUGGACAAUUACUGACGUUGAGGCACGAAAGUGUGGGGAGCAAACAGGAUUAGAUACCCUGGUAGUCCACACCGUAAACGAUGGAUACUAGGUGUAGGGAAUAUUAAGUUCUCUGUGCCGCCGCUAACGCAUUAAGUAUCCCACCUGGGGAGUACGACCGCAAGGUUGAAACUCAAAGGAAUUGACGGGGGCCCGCACAAGCAGUGGAGUAUGUGGUUUAAUUCGAAGCAACGCGAAGAACCUUACCAGGGCUUGACAUAUACCCGAAAAACUAAGAGAUUAGUUCCUUCUUCGGAACAGGUAUACAGGUGGGUGCAUGGUUGUCGUCAGCUCGUGUCGUGAGAUGUUGGGUUAAGUCCCGCAACGAGCGCAACCCCUAUGGUUAGUUGCCAGCACAUAAUGGUGGGAACUCUAGCCAGACUGCCGGUGAUAAAUCCGGAGGAAGGGUGGGGACGACGUCAAAUCAUCAUGCCCUUUAUGUCCUGGGCUACACACGUACUACAAUGGCUGUAACAGAGGGAAGCAAUAUAGUGAUAUGGAGCAAAACCCUAAAAGCAGUCUCAGUUCGGAUUGAAGUCUGAAAUUCGACUUCAUGAAACCGGAAUUGCUAGUAAUGGCAGGUCAGCAUACUUCCGUGAAUACGUUCCCGGGCCUUGUACACACCGUCCCGUGCACACCAUGAGAGUUGGAAAUACCCGAAGCCUGUGAGGCUAACUAUAUGAGGCAGCAGUCGAAGGUAGAGCCAAUGAUUGGGGUGAAGUCGUAACAAGGUAUGCCGUAUCGGAAGGUGCGGCUGGAUCACCUCCUU